GAGUUUGAUUAUGGCUCAGGAUGAACGCUGGCGGCGUGCCUAACACAUGCAAGUCGAGCGGCAGCGAGGGGUGCUUGCACCCUGUCGGCGAGCGGCGGACGGCUGAGUAACGCGUGGGAACGUGCCCCAAAGUGAGGGAUAACUGCCCGAAAGGGUAGCUAAUACCGCAUAUUAUCUUCGGAUCAAAGGAUUUAUCCGCUUUGGGAGCGGCCCGCGUCGGAUUAGGUAGUUGGUAGGGUAAUGGCCUACCAAGCCGACGAUCCGUAGCUGGUCUGAGAGGAUGACCAGCCAGACUGGAACUGAGACACGGUCCAGACUCCUACGGGAGGCAGCAGUGAGGAAUCUUCCACAAUGGGGGCAACCCUGAUGGAGCAACGCCGCGUGCAGGAUGAAGGCCUUCGGGUUGUAAACUGCUUUUAUAAGUGAGGAAUAUGACGGUACUNU
rnacentral:rRNA from 1 species